rnacentral:tRNA from 1 species
GCCAGCGUAGCUCAGUUGGCUAGAGCAGCUGAUUUGUAAUCAGCAGGUCGUGGGUUCGAAUCCCUCCGCCGGCUCAA